UACGUAGGGGGCAAGCGUUGUCCGGAAUCAUUGGGCGUAAAGCGCGCGUAGGCGGUCCUUUAAGUCUGCUGUGAAAGCCCACGGCUCAACCGUGGAGGGUCAUUGGAAACUGGGGGACUUGAGUGCAGGAGAGAAGAGUGGAAUUCCACGUGUAGCGGUGAAAUGCGUAGAGAUGUGGAGGAACACCAGUGGCGAAGGCGACUCUUUGGCCUGUAACUGACGCUGAGGCGCGAAAGCGUGGGGAGCAAACAGG
rnacentral:rRNA from 1 species